rnacentral:rRNA from 1 species
GACGAACGCUGGCGGCGUGCUUAACACAUGCAAGUCGAACGGAAAGGCCCUGCUUUUGUGGGGUGCUCGAGUGGCGAACGGGUGAGUAACACGUGAGUAACCUGCCCUUGACUUUGGGAUAACUUCAGGAAACUGGGGCUAAUACCGGCUAGGAGCUCCUGCUGCAUGGUGGGGGUUGGAAAGUUUCGGCGGUUGGGGAUGGACUCGCGGCUUAUCAGCUUGUUGGUGGGGUAGUGGCUUACCAGGGCUUUGACGGGUAGCCGGCCUGAGAGGGUGACCGGCCACAUUGGGACUGAGAUACGGCCCAGACUCCUACGGGAGGCAGCAGUGGGGAAUAUUGCACAAUGGGCGGAAGCCUGAUGCAGCAACGCCGCGUGCGGGAUGACGGCCUUCGGGUUGUAAACCGCUUUCGCCUGUGACGAAGCGUGAGUGACGGUAAUGGGUAAAGAAGCACCGGCUAACUACGUG